AGUGGUAUCAUCUAUCAUCUACUGUAGAUCAAAAAUAUGCUCAGCAUUUGUGAUGAGGCAGAAUUAGGAUAUGUUGGACACAAGAAUGCUCUUCCUUUUCACUCCUCGUCUUUACUAAAACGUUUCAAUUUUUACGUUGCAACGCGAGAAGUGAAUACUGUUCGAUUAGUAAUGAAAACGGUUUCUCGAGUUUAAUGAAUGUGAAGAAGAAGUUUGAUGAAUAUCGCUACUUUGUUUCAUUUCUUUGGAUUAAUCAAAAUUACUUUCCGCAUAUGAAGCUCGUGCAUUGUCAAACUGAAUUGAAAUCGAUCUUUAUUGCAUUUGUUCGGCUACUUCAAUGUUUCAAUGAUCAAAGAAUGCACAAAAUUGCUUAACAUUUCAUGCGCUGGAACAUUAUCGAACGAAGAUAAACAAAUAAUAGUGGAAUGCGUAUCGAAGAUCAAAGAAAAAUUUUCUCAACUGGAAAUGAAACUCGUAGGUCGAGGUAAUCUUGAAAAAUGUUUAUCACUUCUUGGUAUUGGCUUAAUUCAAAUGGCAGAUUUUAAAAAUUUCA